ensembl:snRNA U6 U6 spliceosomal RNA
GUGCUUACUUUGACAGCACUUAUACUAAAAUUAGAAUGACACAAAGAUGAGCAUGGCCACUGUGCAAGGAAACACUCAAGUUCAUGAAGUGUCCCAGAUUUUU